rnacentral:lncRNA from 1 species
UUUAAAUCAUCUGCAAAGGCAAUUGCUGAAGUCAUACAAGAGAAAUAUAAAAAACCAUGGUUGUUUUGGGGUGAGAUAAAAGAGGAUAAGACACCUCAAUUUAGAGAAGUUGAUCAAUUUUUACAUUGUUUCAAAGUAAGUCAUUAGAUUAAUUUAUUUAAUUACUAAUUAUAUAUACAUUUGAUUAAUUUAUUGAAUUACUAAUUAUAUUUUUAAUAUUUUUUAAAUUUAAACAAACAAUAGACUAAAUGUACUUGGAAAAGAGAGCAUGAUGCCGCAAUUUUGGCUUCUUUUGACCAUCGCUUUUCAAAGCGUCUCUCAUCUAUGUUGGCUUACGCACGUAAUAAAGGCGAGGAAAAACGGCCUAAUUGGAUUGGUGAAAAUGUUU